UACGUAGGGUCCGAGCGUUAUCCGGAAUUAUUGGGCGUAAAGGGCUCGUAGGCGGUUUGUUGCGUCGGGAGUGAAAACCCAGGGCUUAACUCUGGGCUUGCUUCCGAUACGGGCAGACUUGAGGUAUUCAGGGGAGAACGGAAUUCCUGGUGUAGCGGUGAAAUGCGCAGAUAUCAGGAGGAACAGCCGGUGGCGAAGGCGGUUCUCUGGGAAUUACCUGACGCUGAGGAGCGAAAGUGUGGGGAGCGAACAGG
rnacentral:rRNA from 1 species